AUCCUGUGAAGCUGCAAUUCCCUAAUGUUUUGUGUGCCUUCUGCAUCCUGCAAAUACAUCCAUCACUUCAGCUCUGGCACUGCAUGCCUACCUCUGCUAAUUAUCACCUCUUUAUCCACACUCUUCUUCCUUAGCAAGCAAGUUCAAAGCCUCAGCAGAAGAAAAGGCCAAACAAGAAAUUAUCCCAAGCCUGGCAGCAUUUCCACUUCCUAUAUUUUAUUAUCCACCUCCUCCAGAUGAAGGGAAAUGGAACAGUGAAAGAAAGAAAAGCCAAGGAGAAAAAGGUCUGGGUGCAUAUCCAAGCCACCCAACUGUGACAGUGAAACACCAUACGUGCAAGCUUGAGAAGAUGACCUACAUGAACCUAAUGAGGUCCAGCAAGGCCAAGUGCAAGGUGCCAUGAAAAUGACUCUGUUAUCAUCCAUCAAAGACGGAGUUAAAUCAGUGGAUUCAUCAGCCCCUCUUCUCAUGGAAAUCUAUCCGAGGAGAUGGAGCCAACCAAAACAACUGACCACAUGCUUGAAUAGGAGGAGCAUCAACAUUGCUGCAAGCUGUUGGAGAGAACAGAGACUAGGAAAUUAUUUGCCCAGUCAUUUACAAGCAAAGAGAAACCUCAAAAAACAACACAAGGAUAACCAUAAAAGAGAUAUAAUCAGAAAUAAAGCCUUGAAUAAAAGCAGGAACAAGGGAACUCCUUGAUAACUGAAAUUCACUGGAAAUGCAGGUAAAUGCAGCAUAUGUUCC
ensembl:lncRNA